rnacentral:rRNA from 1 species
UGGGGAAUAUUGCNCAAUGGGCGAAAGCCUGACGCAGCGACGCCGCGUGGGGGAUGACGGCCUUCGGGGUUGUAAACCUCUUUCGCCAGGGACGAAGGCGUGAGUGACGGUACCUGGAUAAGAAGCACCGGCCAACUACGUGCCAGCAGCCGCGGUAACACGUAGGGUGCGAGCGUUGUCCGGAAUUAUUGGGCGUAAAGAGCUCGUAGGCGGUCUGUCGCGUCGGUCGUGAAAACUUGGGGCUUAACCCUGAGCUUGCGGUCGAUACGGGCAUGACUGGAGUUCGGCAGGGGAGACUGGAAUUCCUGGUGUAGCGGUGAAAUGCGCAGAUAUCAGGAGGAACACCGGUGGCGAAGGCGGGUCUCUGGGCCGAUACUGACGCUGAGGAGCGAAAGCGUGGGGAGCGAACAGGAUUAGAUACCCUGGUAGUCCACGCCGUAAACGGUGGGCGCUAGGUGUGGGGGCCCAUUCCACGGUCUGCUGUCGCCGCAGCUAACGCAUUAAGCGCCCCGCCUGGGG